rnacentral:rRNA from 1 species
UGGGGAAUAUUGCACAAUGGGCGCAAGCCUGAUGCAGCCAUGCCGCGUGUAUGAAGAGGCCUUCAGGGUUGUAAAGUACUUUCAGCGGGGAGGAAGGCGAUAAGGUUAAUAACCUUGUCGAUUGACGUUACCCGCAGAAGAAGCACCGGCUAACUCCGUGCCAGCAGCCGCGGUAAUGACGGAGGGUGCAAGCGUUAAAUCGGAAUUACUGGGCGUAAAGCGCACGCAGGCGGUCUGUACAAGUCGGAUGUGAAAUCCCCGGGCUCAACCUGGGAACUGCAUUCGAAACUGGCAGGCUGGAGUCUUGUAGA